rnacentral:misc_RNA from 1 species
GAUGAAGAACGCAGCGAAAUGCGAUAAGUAAUGUGAAUUGCAGAAUUCAGUGAAUCAUCGAAUCUUUGAACGCAUCUUGCGCUCCUUGGUAUUCUGAGGAGCAUGCCUGUUUGAGUGUCAUUAAAUUCUCAACUACACUGACUUUGAAUUGGUGUGGCUUGGAUUUGGGUGGGAAAAUUGUUGUGGGCUUUUUGUAUAGUCUGCUCCCCUGAAAUUGAUUAGCGGUACCUUUGUGGAACUGGCUACAGGUGUGAUAAUUAUCUACAUCCUAGACAUCUGCUGGAAUGCUGCUUUCUAAACCUUACUUGUAUUGACAAUCUUGACCUCAAAUCAGGUAGGACUACCCGCUGAACUUAAGCAUAUCAAUAAGCGGAGGA